UGGGGAAUUUUGGACAAUGGGCGCAAGCCUGAUCCAGCAAUGCCGCGUGAGUGAAGAAGGCCUUCGGGUUGUAAAGCUCUUUUGUCAGGGAAGAAACGGUGGGAGCUAAUAUCUCUCACUAAUGACGGUACCUGAAGAAUAAGCACCGGCUAACUACGUGC
rnacentral:rRNA from 1 species